GAAGACAAAUCCUUUCUUUCAGAGCUCAGGAAACCCCACAGAAGAGGAGGUGGAAAGAAUCUAAGAGCCAAAGGGGAAGGUAGACACCAAGAAAACAAGGCUCUCUAAAUCAACAUGAACAAAACUCCCAUGAACUUACAGAGAUUGAAGCAGCAUACACAGGAUUGCACCAGGUUUCAAAGGGUGGAUCUGCUAACAGAUAUGCUUAAGAAUCACAUACCCAUCACACAGGAAAACCAGAGAACCAGCUGACCGGAUGCAGGCUGUAGUGUGUUCCCUGAGUGAUAGCAAGGUGCCAACACUGCCAGGAGAGCUUCCCCACUCAGCUGUUGUGCCUUCCAAGUCAAAAGGACAGACUGAUCUCUAUGGACUUUCCUACCAGGCUAAGAAAUGUCUGCUGUCUUUCUAAGUGAAGCUUUUAACAAAACACACUUGAGCCAGUAAAACUUUGUUGUGUUGUGUUUAUUCCACUGAAAACCUAAAGCCUGCACCCCAAAGGAGCCUGCAGGCAGGGUGGGCACUGCCCCUUCCCCUGCCCGCUAUGUACAUUCACAGUUCUGAUGUGCGGACUGAGGUUCCUAGUGAGAGUCAUCAGGAGGAUGAACAUCCGUCCCAGGUCUGCUCGGGAUUCCUUCAACAUGACCAGUGGCAUUCCUCAGGAAUCCGUCACUUGCAGAUGGCAGGGCAGAGCCCCAGCCUUGGGACAUCUUAGUUCGCCAGUCUCCUUCAUUGGCCUUUUAGUGGCUUUUCUCUUCUGAAAAUUUGUACUCUACAGUUAUAAAACCAACCCGUUAGCUA